CCUGGCUCACGUUGAGCGCUAGCUACAGGCUUAACACAUGCAAGUCGAGGGGCAGCAUUUCAGUUUGCUUGCAAACUGGAGAUGGCGACCGGCGCACGGGUGAGUAACACGUAUCCAACCUGCCGAUAACUCGGGGAUAGCCUUUCGAAAGAAAGAUUAAUACCCGAUGGCAUAAUUAGACCGCAUGGUCUUAUUAUUAAAGAAUUUCGGUUAUCGAUGGGGAUGCGUUCCAUUAGGCAGUUGGUGAGGUAACGGCUCACCAAACCUUCGAUGGAUAGGGGUUCUGAGAGGAAGGUCCCCCACAUUGGAACUGAGACACGGUCCAAACUCCUACGGGAGGCAGCAGUGAGGAAUAUUGGUCAAUGGACGAGAGUCUGAACCAGCCAAGUAGCGUGAAGGAUGACUGCCCUAUGGGUUGUAAACUUCUUUUAUAUGGGAAUAAAGUUUUCCACGUGUGGAAUUUUGUAUGUACCAUAUGAAUAAGGAUCGGCUAACUCCGUGCCAGCAGCCGCGGUAAUACGGAGGAUCCGAGCGUUAUCCGGAUUUAUUGGGUUUAAAGGGAGCGUAGGUGGACAGUUAAGUCAGUUGUGAAAGUUUGCGGCUCAACCGUAAAAUUGCAGUUGAUACUGGCUGUCUUGAGUACAGUAGAGGUGGGCGGAAUUCGUGGUGUAGCGGUGAAAUGCUUAGAUAUCACGAAGAACUCCGAUUGCGAAGGCAGCUCACUGGACUGCAACUGACACUGAUGCUCGAAAGUGUGGGUAUCAAACAGGAUUAGAUACCCUGGUAGUCCACACAGUAAACGAUGAAUACUCGCUGUUUGCGAUAUACAGUAAGCGGCCAAGCGAAAGCAUUAAGUAUUCCACCUGGGGAGUACGCCGGCAACGGUGAAACUCAAAGGAAUUGACGGGGGCCCGCACAAGCGGAGGAACAUGUGGUUUAAUUCGAUGAUACGCGAGGAACCUUACCCGGGCUUAAAUUGCAUUUGAAUAAUCUGGAAACAGGUUAGCCGCAAGGCAAAUGUGAAGGUGCUGCAUGGUUGUCGUCAGCUCGUGCCGUGAGGUGUCGGCUUAAGUGCCAUAACGAGCGCAACCCUUAUCUUUAGUUACUAACAGGUCAUGCUGAGGACUCUAGAGAGACUGCCGUCGUAAGAUGUGAGGAAGGUGGGGAUGACGUCAAAUCAGCACGGCCCUUACGUCCGGGGCUACACACGUGUUACAAUGGGGGGUACAGAAGGCAGCUACCUGGUGACAGGAUGCUAAUCCCAAAAGCCUCUCUCAGUUCGGAUCGAAGUCUGCAACCCGACUUCGUGAAGCUGGAUUCGCUAGUAAUCGCGCAUCAGCCAUGGCGCGGUGAAUACGUUCCCGGGCCUUGUACACACCGCCCG
rnacentral:rRNA from 1 species